rnacentral:rRNA from 1 species
GAUCAUGGCUCAGAGCGAACGUUAGCGGCGGGCCUAACACAUGCAAGUCGAACGCGAAAGGUCUUCGGACUGAGUAGAGUGGCGCACGGGUGAGUAACACGUAGGUAAUCUACCCUUUGGCGGGGGAUAACGUUCCGAAAGGAGCGCUAAUACCGCAUAAGACCACGGAGUCUCCGGACGCUGUGGGAAAAAGGUGGCCUCUUCUUGAAAGCUACCACCGAAGGAUGAGCCUGCGUCCCAUCAGCUAGUUGGUAAGGUAAUGGCUUACCAAGGCGAAGACGGGUAGCUGGUUUGAGAGAAUGAUCAGCCACACUGGCACUGGAACACGGGCCAGACUCCUACGGGAGGCAGCAGUGAGGAAUAUUGCACAAUGGAGGAAACUCUGAUGCAGCAACGCCGCGUGGAGGAUGACGCAUUUCGGUGUGUAAACUCCUUUUAUAAGGGAAGAUAAUGACGGUACCUUAUGAAUAAGCACCGGCUAACUCCGUG